GAUGAACGCUAGCGGGAGGCUUAAUACAUGCAAGUCGAGGGGUAACAGGGGCUUCGGCCCGCUGGCGACCGGCGCACGGGUGAGUAACGCGUACGCAACUUACCUCCAAGCGAGGGAUAGCCCUGGGAAACUGGGAUUAAUACCUCAUGUGAUUAUGAUGCCGCAUGGUGUUAUAAUUAAAGUUCAGGCGCUUGGAGAUGGGCGUGCGUCCUAUUAGCUAGUUGGUGAGGUAACGGCUCACCAAGGCGACGAUAGGUAGGGGCGUGAGAGCGUGGCCCCCCACACGGGUACGUGAGACACGGACCCGACUCCUACGGGAGGCAGCAGUAAGGAAUAUUGGACAAUGGGCGCAAGCCUGAUCCAG
rnacentral:rRNA from 1 species